GAGCGAGUUUGUGCUAAUCGCGUCUCAGUGGAGAAGAGGAGAGGUGGCGCGGAGAGGGAAAGGAUAAAAAAGAGAAGGACUCGAAUAAGAAGCUGCUAGGUGUUCAAAAGGUGGAGCUGCAGUACACAACCGGAAAGAGAGCAUAAGACAAGUUCAAGUUCAGGGAGAGCUCCAGACACGGUAGCUGUUCGUGUGUGGCCUGAGUCUUGCCAUGAUUCCUGGCCUGAACAACUGUUCCAGUCUGGCCCUGGUCUCCACCGUG